rfam:Medicago truncatula strain A17 unplaced genomic scaffold scaffold1433, whole genome shotgun sequence.
UAGCAGUGUAGCAUGCCCGUUUGGUGUUUAACUCUGAUGAAUUAUUUAAUAUUUAAUUGUUUUGGGAUAACGGGGUGUUACAAUUGG